ACUUUACUGACAUAAGUAUGUGUGUGUGUGUGUGUGUGUGUGUGUGUGUAUAUAUAUAUAGUCAUAUAGUCAUACACAUACAUUCUACGUGU
rnacentral:miRNA from 1 species